AUUGAAUCAGACAUCCAUAAGGAAAACAAAUUAAGAGGCCUGAAGGUGCAGAAGGAAGGGAAGAUCAGCUAAACAGACUUCGUGUGGCUUCUGCUCUCCGAGGGGGACAAUAAGACAUCAACCAGCGUCGAGUAUUGUGUCAGCUGCAUGGACAUGGACAUGUACGAGCUUGAGUGUUUCUACAAGGAACAGAUGUAGCACCUGGACGCCUGGGCCAUUGAGUUGCUUCCCUUCCUGGACUGCAUGUGCCAGAUGCUGGACCUGGUGAAGCCAUGGAUCCUGGAAAAAGUCUGCCUGAUACGAUGGGACUGUAGGCUAAAGAUGGAUGCUAAAAUGUCACAGAAGAACUUUGAGAUGCUGGGGCUGAUCUAAUGGGAGCUCACCAAGGCCAGCUGUACUGAGACUGAAAAAGCAUGGGAUAAAACCGGACUCC